CAACUAAGGCCGACUUAACGACAGAAAAUCUGGUCUCAUUUUUAGCCACGUAUGUUAAGUCUAUCCGCAAAUUCGAUAAUCGUUACCCUGAUAGCCUGAAAUUGUUCAAUUCUAGCUAAGCACUUAAUGUUUUUAUUUUUUUAAUAUCAUCUGCGGUAGUAAACUACUUUCCUGGUCCACGCAGACCGAUUAACUGUUCUUUGAAGGGAAUAGGUGACAAAGAGUUUGUCGCUCGACAAAUAUAUGACUUUGACUAUCCAACUACGUAAUAUCUCGCUUGAAGUUGAUUUUCUCAUUGUACCCGAGUUGUAUAUGAAUACGCCGUUCAUAAUAGGGACAGACGUUCUCAAUCGUGAUGGCGUCACGUUUAUUCGCACGAAACGUGAACAGUACCUAACUCACACACCAGAUAGGGUACUAGUAGUGAAUGCUGUGAAUGCUAACCAAUUUGACAGCAUAAAUACGCCUCUCGAAGGUGCAGACUUUGCUAAGUUGAUGGCUGUCAUUAAGGAAUUGUCUCCGUUUUUAAUAUCCGGUACAGCAACUACAGCGGUGACUACGGAGGCUGGUAGUGUACUUAUGUACAUUGACGACGUUCUUAUUGUAAGUAUGUCUAAUGACGACGGUAUUUCUCUAUUACGGAUGUUUUGAAGACUGACAGAAGCUGGAUUCUCUGUCAAUUUGCGAAAGUGUUCUUUCCUCACAACUAAAAUAGAGAACUUAGGUCGUGUUAUCAGUUAUGGUCAGGUUAGGCCGAGUCUGCAUAAAAUUGAAGCGUUGGUUAGUUCACCUACUCUAACUAACUUUAAGCAGGUACAUCAAUUUUAAGGUUUAGCUGGAUACUUCCGGCGUUAAAUUGAAGGGUACGGGACAAAAACCGCAUGUAUAUCGCGUCUCACUAAGAAAGACGUCAAAUUUGAAUGGGAACCCGAACAAGAUCAAGUCAAACAAGAGCUCUUAAAGCAAUUAACCAGCGAGCCUUUACUUGCGAUUUUUGACCCGAGCCUUCCCACUGAACUAAACACCUAGCGCCUAGCAGUGCAGGAUAUGGUGCCGUGCUUAUGCAGGCCCACACGGAUAAUAAUAAAGGAGUGGUAGCCUAUUUUAGUAGGGUUACCCAGGGUUUGGAGCCCAAGUGUCAUUCAUAUGAAUUAGAAACGUUGGCGGUCGUCGAGGCUCUGCAACAUUUUCGGCAUUACCUGGUUGGUAUAAGUUUUAAGAUAAUCACCGAUUGCAAUGCCUUGAAGGCCACCGAACGUAAGAAGGAUCUUCUUCCACGAGUUGCCCGCUGGUGGGUAUAUUUACCAGAUUGUAAUUUUACUUUUGAUCAUAGAAAAGGGGCUUUAAUGCAACAAGCUACGUGUUGAAGUAGGCAACAAAGGUUCCCAGUGGUCCGACGUGCUGUGGAGGAUACCUACAGCUCACUUUGGAGGAACAUCUCCAAGCAAAGUACCAUGCAGACUUCACCACUGCAGUUACUGGUCGGUAUCGAUAUGUGAUCUGUGGAGUUACUGGUCAUCAGAUCGUUAGUGUGAGAUGUGGCAAUUACUAACUCUAAUCCCAAUCGGGAGGCUCUCUUAACUCUUCGCAGGUGGCGAGCUUCCGAACUGCUUGCAACCGGGCGAUGGUGCCGGGAUGCCUGCGUUAGCGGGAGUCGACGGUGGCCGCACGCCUUUGCUGUCGGAGACUUUGUGUUUGUGAGCAAGCCUGCACAAAUCACCGGUGAACUGGACCCCGGCAUGCGUGGGCCUUACAAGGUUAUUCGCGCGCUACCGUGCCACCGCUACGAGUUAGAGCUACUAGCUGGUUCCUGAUAUUGUGGCAAGGCGAGUUGACGCCGGAUGCGUGCACAGUUUCCGUCGCGACUUGACUUUGUGGUGCUAAUGUGUUUAGACCACUUUGAGAACAUACAAGCGUAUGGGUCUCUGUUUUAAACUUUUGUGGUCCUAAUGUGUUUAGACCACUUGGAGAACAUGCAAAGGUAUGGGUCUCUGUUUAAUAUUUUUGUGGUGCUAAUGUGUUUAGGCCACAUAGAGAACAUGCAAAAUGUAUGGGUCUCUGUUUUAACAAAUUGUCACUUAGGAGAGCACUAGGAGCCACUGUAGUUGUGACAGUGUAUUGCAAAUAUACUGAGUUUUAUCUUUAUUCGUGUUAAGUCUGAAGCUAUCUAAUUCUGUAAUAUUUGCUUUUUGAUAUACCUUAUCUAUGUGCGCUUGAGUGCACGCUUGCGCACAUGGUUCUGGUAAUGGAGAAAUAGAGAUAAAUGUCAUUUUUCGUCCCUACAAUUCAAAAUACGCUUCAGGCUAUGACACGAAGCUAGGUAGAUUACUACAAGUUCCCUUACAGAGACUGCGCUAGACAAUUAUGAGCAGGUUGCAAGUGAUGCUGCGGUCGAGGACGCUGCACUGUCAGAAACGGCCAUCUUAGAAAAAAAUCCCAACCAGCAAACCGGACGGAGUAUCAGGUUAUAAAAGAGGAGUGGAACAGCGGAUUGGGGGUAUUCUACGUUUGGCUCAGAUGUGACGGCCGUUUCGGUUGUGUUUAGCGGUUAUUCUCUAUGCGCGCGUGAUAUGUUGCCUUGCGUGCGAGUGUGAGGCAACUGUGUGGCUUGCUGGUUGAAACGGACUGCCAAUGUGGUGCGGUUAUGGUUUGUUCCUGAGGCCAGCAACCUUGAGAAGCGGGCCUCGGCAGAUGUGCAUCCUGUGCGCGUGGCGGGCGCUGUCCCGGAAGAUGUGUUCUUUGAAAACAUAUCAGGCGCAGUCCUGGCAGCCUUAGUGCUGGUGCUCUUUUGAGAGUGUUACGGGCGCUGUCCCGGUUGGUGUGUUCUUUGAACGCACUUCAGGCGCAGUCCUGGCAGCCUUAGUGCUGGUGCUCUUUUGAGAGUGUUACGGGUGCUGUCCCGGGUGGUGUGUUCUUUGAACUCACUUCAGGCGCAGUCCUGGUUUACGUUGCUAACGGGGGAACUUGUACAAGUUCAAGUAUGAGAAUGUGUGAGAUGUUUUGUGAGAUGAUGUAUGCAUACUUUUGAAAGCGAAGUGUUUUAGCUAAAGUUGUGGAAGUGUGCUUUUGUAUCAGGGCCUUGGAUGAGUGAUGAAUGACAGACUAGGCACUAACGUAAUGUCGUCGUGAUUAACUAACAGAAUAAUUGUUGCACAGAUUGCGAUGACGAAUACCCCGAUGACGUUAGUGAGCCUUCAGCUGCGUGUGCUAGUCCUGCUGCUUCCUCAAGAACACUCGAACCAUAUAUGGGUGAACAUGGUGACCAAGAUACCGUCAUGCCUUCCACCAGUUCUUCCAAAGAAGAGAUCAACAGUGCAUCCGAGGACGGUGCACAGUCAGGAGAGGCCGUAUAAGCAGAAAUUGCAGUAGGUAGUUUCGAUACCCAGCCGCCUUUUAUAAAAGAAAGGCCUCAAUGUGCGGGGGGCUCAUUUGUUGCUCGGACGUAAACGAGUAAGGUGGUUGAUAUCGAGGCCGCAUACUGUGAGUUCGUUCUAUGUUAUUUUUAUUCGGUGGUUUCUGUGUAAUAGUUUUAAGGUUAACGGUUGUUUUUAAAAUACCCAAAGUCGUGUUGUUUUGAUUGUAUAAGAUAAAUUUUAAGAUAGAUUUAGUGUGAUUUCGAAUAUACCGUGUUUUGUUCUUUGAUAAAGUUAUUUUUGGUUAAAUCACUUCUUACGUUAUUUCGAA